UACGUAGGGGCCUAGCGUUGUCCGGAUUUAUUGGGCGUAAAGAGCGUGUAGGCGGCCAAGCAGGUCCGCUGUGAAAACUCGAGGCUCAACCUCGAGACGUCGGUGGAAACCGUUUGGCUAGAGUCCGGAAGAGGAGAGUGGAAUUCCCGGUGUAGCGGUGAAAUGCGCAGAUAUCGGGAAGAACACCCGUGGCGAAGGCGGCUCUCUGGGACGGUACUGACGCUGAGACGCGAAAGCGUGGGGAGCGAACAGG
rnacentral:rRNA from 1 species